GUGCCAGCGCCGCGGUAAUACGUAGGUGGCGAGCGUUGUCCGGAAUUACUGGGUGUAAAGGGAGCGCAGGCGGGGAGACAAGUCAGCUGUGAAAACUACCGGCUUAACCGAUAGAUUGCAGUUGAAACUGUUUUUCUUGAGUGGAGUAGAGGCAGGCGGAAUUCCGAGUGUAGCGGUGAAAUGCGUAGAUAUUCGGAGGAACACCGGUGGCGAAGGCGGCCUGCUGGGCUCUAACUGACGCUGAGGCUCGAAAGUGUGGGGAGCAAACAGG
rnacentral:rRNA from 1 species